GGGAAUAUUGCGCAAUGGAGGAAACUCUGACGCAGUGACGCCGCGUGCAGGAAGAAGGUUUUCGGAUUGUAAACUGCUUUAGACAGGGAAGAAACAAGACAGUACCUGUAGAAUAAGCUCCGGCUAACUACGUGCCAGCAGCCGCGGUAAUACGUAGGGAGCAAGCGUUAUCCGGAUUUAUUGGGUGUAAAGGGUGCGUAGACGGGAAGGAAAGUUGGUUGUGAAAUCCCUCGGCUUAACUGAGGAACUGCAACCAAAACUAUCUUUCUUGAGUGCUGUAGAGGAAAGUGGAAUUCCUAGUGUAGCGGUGAAAUGCGUAGAUAUUAGGAGGAACACCAGUGGCGAAGGCGACUUUCUGGACAGUAACUGACGUUGAGGCACGAAAGUGUGGGGAGCAAACAGGA
rnacentral:rRNA from 1 species